rnacentral:rRNA from 1 species
AUUGAACGCUGGCGGCAGGCCUAACACACGCAAGUCGAGCGGAUGACGGGAGCUUGCUCCUUGAUUCAGCGGCGGACGGGUGAGUAAUGCCUAGGAAUCUGCCUGGUAGUGGGGGACAACGUUUCGAAAGGAACGCUAAUACCGCAUACGUCCUACGGGAGAAAGCAGGGGACCUUCGGGCCUUGCGCUAUCAGAUGAGCCUAGGUCGGAUUAGCUAGUAGGUGAGGUAAUGGCUCACCUAGGCGACGAUCCGUAACUGGUCUGAGAGGAUGAUCAGUCACACUGGAAAUGAGACACGGUCCAGACUCCUACGGGAGGCAGCAGUGGGGAAUAUUGGACAAUGGGCGAAAGCCUGAUCCAGCCAUGCCGCGUGUGUGAAGAAGGCCUUCGGAUUGUAAAGCACUUUAAGUUGGGAGGAAGGGCAGUAAGCUAAUACCUUGCUGUUUUGACGUUACCGACAGAAUAAGCACCGGCUAACUCUGUGCCAGCCGCCGCCGUAACAC